rnacentral:rRNA from 1 species
UACGAGGGGGCGAGCGUUGUUCGGAAUUAUUGGGCGUAAAGGGUGCGUAGGCGGCUUUUUAAGUUUGGUGUGAAAUCUCCCGGCUCAACUGGGAGGGUGCGCCGAAUACUGAGAAGCUAGAGUGUGGGAGAGGAAAGUGGAAUUCCUGGUGUAGCGGUGAAAUGCGUAGAUAUCAGGAGGAACACCGGUGGUGUAAACGCUUCUGGACCAUAACUGACGCUGGAGGCACGAAA